GAGACCUGCUGAGCUCUACUUCAUCAUCUGUGUCGACUAGCUCGACGAAUCCGCUGUUGAACAAUCAGCGUUUUCGAAGACAUGACUCGGCUUUGUCAGACGACCGCUACUGGUGGUUGUCGAAUACGCACCUUUCGGCAAUUUACGAGAAUAUCUUCGUGAAAGAAGACUUGACCGAAACGGAGAGACCAUUCCAAUAGAAGGAGAAGAAAAGUUGUGCUUUAGGGAUUUCGUCUCCUUCAGUUAUCAAAUUGCUCGUGGAAUGGAAUAUUUGUCAGGAAGAAAGUGUAUUCAUCGCGAUCUUGCUGCCAGGAAUAUUUUAGUUGGUGAAGAUAGAGUAAUGAAAAUUGCAGACUUUGGUUUAGCUCGCGACAUUCAUCAGAUUGACUAUUACCGCAAAACAACUGACGUAUGUAUUCUGUGAAAUUGUGCCAUUAAUCCUGAUAAAUAAUUUUUAAGAAUAUGAAAACAUUUUUUGUCUUUAUGGAUUUUAUUGUUUUCGUAAAGAAACUUCCUUGUAUAUGUAUAUUAUAGUAAAUUUUCUAUUUUUGUGCCUGAACUUCGAGUGGAAAUAUUUUUGUUUGAUAUCAUUGUAUUAUAAGACAUUUAUAAUUA